rfam:Rattus norvegicus chromosome 1, whole genome shotgun sequence.
UGAUCAGUCAGGCUACUGGCUAUAUUCCAGGACCUAUCUGGUCCUGGAUAUAGCCAAAGCCCGACUGAAUG